UACAGAGGUCUCAAGCGUUGUUCGGAUUCAUUGGGCGUAAAGGGUGCGUAGGUGGCGGGGUAAGUCAGGUGUGAAAUUUCGGAGCUUAACUCCGAAACUGCAUUUGAUACUGCCUUGCUUGAGGACUGGAGAGGAGACUGGAAUUCACGGUGUAGCAGUGAAAUGCGUAGAUAUCGUGAGGAAGACCAGUGGCGAAGGCGGGUCUCUGGACAGUGACUGACACUGAGGCACGAAGGCCAGGGGAGCAAACGGG
rnacentral:rRNA from 1 species